rnacentral:rRNA from 1 species
GGGCCCGCACAAGCAGCGGAGCAUGUGGUUUAAUUCGAAGCAACGCGAAGAACCUUACCAGGUCUUGACAUCCGGUAAAGCCUGCAGAGAUGCGGAGUGCCUUUCGGGGCAUACCGAGACAGGUGGUGCAUGGUUGUCGUCAGCUCGUGUCGUGAGAUGUUGGGUUAAGUCCCGCAACGAGCGCAACCCUUGUUGUCAGUUGCUAACGCGUAGAGGCGAGAACUCUGACGAGACUGCCGGGGACAACUCGGAGGAAGGUGGGGACGACGUCAAAUCAUCAUGCCCCUUAUGACCUGGGCUACACACGUGCUACAAUGGCCGGAACAAAGAGGUGCGAGACAGCAAUGUGGAGCAGAUCUGUAAAAACCGGUCUCAGUUCAGAUCGUGGGCUGCAACCCGCCACGUGAAGUUGGAGUUGCUAGUAAUCGCGAAUCAGCAUGUCG